rnacentral:rRNA from 1 species
UACGUAAGGGGCAAGCGUUAUCCGGAUUUACUGGGUGUAAAGGGAGCGUAGACGGCAGAGCAAGUCUGAUGUGAAAGGCAGGGGCUCAACCCCUGGACUGCAUUGGAAACUGUUCGGCUUGAGUGCCGGAGAGGUAAGCGGAAUUCCUAGUGUAGCGGUGAAAUGCGUAGAUAUUAGGAGGAACACCAGUGGCGAAGGCGGCUUACUGGACGGCAACUGACGUUGAGGCUCGAAAGCGUGGGGAGCAAACAGG